rnacentral:rRNA from 1 species
CGUAGUACGGACCCUUCCGGGUAGGCUGUUACAGGUGGCUGCAUGGCGUGUCGUCAGCUCGUGUCGUGAGAUGUUCGGUUAAGUCCGCUAACGAGCGCAACCCUCGCUGUGUGUUACAAGUGUCACACGGAACUGCCGGUCAUAAACCGGAGGAAGUGGGGAUGACGUCAAGUCAGCAUGGCCUUUAUAUCCUGGGCUACACACACGCUACAAUGGGAAGGGACAAUAGGUUGCGAAGCCGCGAGGCGGAGCCAAUCCAGCAAAACUUCCCUCAGUUCAGAUUGCAGGCUGCAACCCGCCUGCAUGAAGUUGGAGUUGCUAGUAAACGCAGGUCAGCCAUACUGCGUUGAAUACGUUCCCGGGGCUU